ACGAACGCUGGCGGCGUGCCUCAAACAUGCAAGUCGAGCGGGGUUCUGGAAGUGGGCGACCACGGAAGGGACCUAGCGGCAGACGGGUGAGUAACGCGUGGGUAAUCUGCCCAAGGGACCGGGAUAACACCUCGAAAGGGGUGCUAAUACCGGGUGACCCUGGUGCUCCGAGUGGGGGACCAGGGAUAGGUGGCCUCUUGACAAUGCUACUGCCCCUUGGAUGAGCCCGCGUCCCAUUAGCUAGUUGGCGGGGUAAAGGCCCACCAAGGCGACGAUGGGUAGCCG
rnacentral:rRNA from 1 species